GGUAUAAGAUGGACUCGCGUCUGAUUAGCUUGUUGGUGAGGUAACGGCUCACCAAGGCGACGAUCAGUAGCCGGCCUGAGAGGGUGAACGGCCACAUUGGGACUGAGACACGGCCCAAACUCCUACGGGAGGCAGCAGUGGGGAAUAUUGCACAAUGGGGGAAACCCUGAUGCAGCGACGCCGCGUGAGUGAUGAAGUAUUUCGGUAUGUAAAAUUCUAUCAUCAGGGAAGAUAAUGACGGUUCCUGAAUAAGAAGCACCGGCUAAAUACGUGCCAGCAGCCGCGGUAAUACGUAUGGUAGCAAGCGUUAUCCGGAUUUACUGGGUGUAAAGGGUGCGUAGGUGGUAUGGCAAGUCAGAAGUGAAAGUCUGGGGCUCAACCCCGGGACUGCUAUUUGAAACUGUCGAGCUAGAGUGCAGGAGAGGAAAGCGGAAUUCCUAGUGUAGCGGUGAAAUGCGUAGAUAUUAGGAGGAACACCAGUGGCGAAGGCGGCUUUCUGGACUGAAACUGACACUGAGGCACGAAAGCGUGGGGAGCAAACAGGAUUAGAUACCCUGGUAGUCCACGCCGUAAACGAUGAAUUUUAGGUGUCGGGCAGCUUAGCUGCUUGGUGCCGCAGCAAACGCAUUAUGUAUUCCACCUGGGGAGUGCGUUCGCAAGAAUGAAACUCUAAGGAAUUAGACGGGGACCCGCACACGCGCUGGAGCAUGUGGUUUAAUUUGAAGCAACGCGAAGAACCUCCUCAGGUCUUGAUAUCCUCGAUGACCGCUUAUUAAUGGAAGCUUUUGUUCCGAACAUCGGAGACAGGUGGUGCAUGGUCGUGGUCAUCUCGUGUCGUGAGAUGUUGGGUUAAGUCCCGCUCCGAGCGCAACCCCUAUUUUCAGUAGCCAGCAUUUUGCAUGGGCACUCUGGAGAGACUGCCCGGGAUAACCGGGAGGAAGGUGGGGAUGACGUCAAAUCAUCAUGCCCCUUAUGAUCUGGGCUACACACGUGAUACAAUGGCUGUUACAGAGAGAAGGGAAUCCGCGAGGAAGAGCAAACCUCAAAAAGGCAGUCUCAGUUCGGAAUGUAGUCUGCAACUCGCCUACAUGAAGUUGGAAUCGCUAGUAAUCGCGAAUCAGAAUGUCGCGGUGAAUACAAUGCCGGGUCUUGCACUCACCGCCCGUCA
rnacentral:rRNA from 1 species